UGCGAGUCGACGAUGAGCCUUUCGGGGUGGAUUAGUGGCGAACGGGUGAGUAACACGUGGGCAAUCUGCCCUUCACUCUGGGACAAGCCCUGGAAACGGGGUCUAAUACCGGAUAACACCUUCCACCGCAUGGUGGGGGGUUGAAAGCUCCGGCGGUGAAGGAUGAGCCCGCGGCCUAUCAGCUUGUUGGUGGGGUGAUGGCCUACCAAGGCGACGACGGGUAGCCGGCCUGAGAGGGCGACCGGCCACACUGGGACUGAGACACGGCCCAGACUCCUACGGGAGGCAGCAGUGGGGAAUAUUGCACAAUGGGCGAAAGCCUGAUGCAGCGACGCCGCGUGAGGGAUGACGGCCUUCGGGUUGUAAACCUCUUUCAGCAGGGAAGAAGCGAAAGUGACGGUACCUGCAGAAGAAGCGCCGGCUAACUACGUGCCAGCAGCCGCGGUAAUACGUAGGGCGCAAGCGUUGUCCGGAAUUAUUGGGCGUAAAGAGCUCGUAGGCGGCUUGUCGCGUCGGAUGUGAAAGCCCGGGGCUUAACCCCGGGUCUGCAUUCGAUACGGGCAGGCUAGAGUGUGGUAGGGGAGAUCGGAAUUCCUGGUGUAGCGGUGAAAUGCGCAGAUAUCAGGAGGAACACCGGUGGCGAAGCGGAUCUCUGGGCCAUUACUGACGCUGAGGAGCGAAAGCGUGGGGAGCGAACAGGAUUAGAUACCCUGGUAGUCCACGCCGUAAACGUUGGGAACUAGGUGUUGGCGACAUUCCACGUCGUCGGUGCCGCAGCUAACGCAUUAAGUUCCCCGCCUGGGGAGUACGCCGCAAGCUAAAACUCAAAGGA
rnacentral:rRNA from 1 species